rnacentral:rRNA from 1 species
GAGUUUGAUCAUGGCUCAGAUUGAACGCUGGCGGCAUGCCUUACACAUGCAAGUCGAACGGCAGCAUGAUCUAGCUUGCUAGAUUGAUGGCGAGUGGCGAACGGGUGAGUAAUACAUCGGAACGUGCCCUGUAGUGGGGGAUAACUAGUCGAAAGAUUAGCUAAUACCGCAUACGACCUGAGGGUGAAAGUGGGGGACCGCAAGGCCUCAUGCUAUAGGAGCGGCCGAUGUCUGAUUAGCUAGUUGGUGGGGUAAAGGCCCACCAAGGCGACGAUCAGUAGCUGGUCUGAGAGGACGAUCAGCCACACUGGGGCUGAGACACGGCCCAGACUCCUACGGGAGGCAGCAGUGGGGAAUUUUGGACAAUGGGCGAAAGCCUGAUCCAGCAAUGCCGCGUGUGUG